rnacentral:rRNA from 2 species
AUGCAAGUCGAGCGAACGGACAAGGAGCUUGCUCCUUUGAAGUUAGCGGCGGACGGGUGAGUAACACGUGGGUAACCUACCUAUAAGACUGGAAUAACUCCGGGAAACCGGGGCUAAUGCCGGAUAACAUGUUGAACCGCAUGGUUCAACAGUGAAAGACGGUCUUGCUGUCACUUAUAGAUGGACCCGCGCCGUAUUAGCUAGUUGGUGGGGUAACGGCCUACCAAGGCGACGAUACGUAGCCGACCUGAGAGGGUGAUCGGCCACACUGGAACUGAGACACGGUCCAGACUCCUACGGGAGGCAGCAGUAGGGAAUCUUCCGCAAUGGGCGAAAGCCUGACGGAGCAACGCCGCGUGAGUGAUGAAGGUCUUCGGAUCGUAAAGCUCUGUUGUUAGGGAAGAACAAAUGUGUAAGUAACUGUGCACGUCUUGACGGUACCUAACCAGAA